rnacentral:rRNA from 1 species
AUUGAACGCUGGCGGCAGGCCUAACACAUGCAAGUCGAACGGUAACAGGAAGCAGCUUGCUGCUUUGCUGACGAGUGGCGGACGGGUGAGUAAUGUCUGGGAAACUGCCUGAUGGAGGGGGAUAACUACUGGAAACGGUAGCUAAUACCGCAUAACGUCGCAAGACCAAAGAGGGGGACCUUCGGGCCUCUUGCCAUCGGAUGUGCCCAGAUGGGAUUAGCUAGUAGGUGGGGUAACGGCUCACCUAGGCGACGAUCCCUAGCUGGUCUGAGAGGAUGACCAGCCACACUGGAACUGAGACACGGUCCAGACUCCUACGGGAGGCAGCAGUGGGGAAUAUUGCACAAUGGGCUCAAGCCUGAUGCAGCCAUGCCGCGUGUAUGAAGAAGGCCUUCGGGUUGUAAAGUACUUUCAGCGGGGAGGAAGGGAGUAAAGUUAAUACCUUUGCUAAUUGACGUUACCCGCAGAAGAAGCACCGGCUAACUCCGUG